UACGUAGGGGGGCAAGCGUUGUCCGGAAUCAUUGGGCGUAAAGCGCGUGUAGGCGGCUUGGUAAGUCCGUUCUGAAAGCCCGGGGCUCAACCCCGGGAGGCGGAUGGAUACUGUCAAGCUUGAGUCCGGAAGAGGCGAGUGGAAUUCCCGGUGUAGCGGUGAAAUGCGCAGAUAUCGGGAGGAACACCAAUGGCGAAGGCAGCUCGCUGGGACGUGACUGACGCUGAGACGCGAAAGCGUGGGGAGCAAACAGG
rnacentral:rRNA from 1 species